AAGUGAAGAGUUUGAUACUGGCUCAGAUUGAACGCUGGCGGAAUGCUUAACACAUGCAAGUCGUGCGGUAACACUUCGGGUGACGAGCGGCGGACGGGUGCGUAACGCGUGAGAAUCUACCUUUUAGUGGGGGACAACUCGGGGAAACUCGAGCUAAUACCGCAUGUGUCCUACGGGAUAAAGCAGGGGAUCUUCGGACCUUGCGCUAAAAGAUGAGCUC
rnacentral:rRNA from 1 species